rnacentral:rRNA from 1 species
UUAACACAUGCAAGUCGAGGGGCAGCAUGAUUUGUAGCAAUACAGAUUGAUGGCGACCGGCGCACGGGUGAGUAACGCGUAUGCAACUUACCUAUCAGAGGGGGAUAGCCCGGCGAAAGUCGGAUUAAUACCCCAUAAAACAGGGGUCCCGCAUGGGAAUAUUUGUUAAAGAUUCAUCGCUGAUAGAUAGGCAUGCGUUCCAUUAGGCAGUUGGCGGGGUAACGGCCCACCAAACCGACGAUGGAUAGGGGUUCUGAGAGGAAGGUCCCCCACAUUGGUACUGAGACACGGACCAAACUCCUACGGGAGGCAGCAGUGAGGAAUAUUGGUCAAUGGCCGAGAGGCUGAACCAGCCAAGUCGCGUGAAGGAAGAAGGAUCUAUGGUUUGUAAACUUCUUUUAUAGGGGAAUAAAGUGGAGGACGUGUCCUUUUUUGUAUGUACCCUAUGAAUAAGCAUCGGCUAACUCCGUGCCAGCAGCCGCGGUAAUACGGAGGAUGCGAGCGUUAUCCGGAUUUAUUGGGUUUAAAGGGUGCGUAGGUGGUGAUUUAAGUCAGCGGUGAAAGUUUGUGGCUCAACCAUAAAAUUGCCGUUGAAACUGGGUUACUUGAGUGUGUUUGAGGUAGGCGGAAUGCGUGGUGUAGCGGUGAAAUGCAUAGAUAUCACGCAGAACUCCGAUUGCGAAGGCAGCUUACUAAACCAUAACUGACACUGAAGCACGAAAGC